GCGGGAAUCAUUCGUUCAGCAGCCAGCGGAGCAAGUGAACGUGCGAGGCGCAUGCGCGCUCGGCCUGCAAAAAUAAUAUUGUAGAAAAAACACACACACACACAGAAACUCGUGUUUCGUUCGCGUGCUCGUGCGUGCAGCGUGAUUCGUGUCGUUCGGCUGCAACUCUUGUGUUUUGUUUUUGCAUAUUGUAUGCACGCUUCGUCGCGCGUGGAAUAUUACAACAACGCAGCCCACUUUAAAGAGGAGCAUGAAAAGCAAUUACAUAAACAUAUAAACAUUAUCUAUUGUUUUGUCUGUGGUUCAUUGUUCCUUGCGGCCCAUUCUAUAAGUCCACAGCAAAACCAACACGAAACGCCAAGCGAAUGAACCAAUUUUAUUUCCCCUGUGUUGUUUACAAAACCAAAAAGAUCGAAACCCGGCUAUAAACCAGAAAUUAUGUAGAAAAGGCAAGCGACAAGCAAUGCGGUUUCUACGAAUUGCUGUUGGCUUGGAGAAUUCUUGAAAAGCAACAAGAAGAGAAAAAAAAAACCAAGCAAGAAAAAUAAAAACAAAAAGUGAAAGUGUAUUAAACAAAAAAAAAAAAAAAAAAAUCGACUCCUGUUUGUUGCAGUCCGUGGGCGUGCCAAGGUACGCAGAUCUGUAAAACAUUGUUGUUUUUCUUUUACCGUCCACUGACUCGUCAAAAUUCCAAGCGCGAAUUUCAUGGCUUGGUUAUGCAAAAGACAACAA